AGUGAACGCUGGCGGUAGGCCUAACACAUGCAAGUCGAACGGCAGCACAGUAAGAGCUUGCUCUUACGGGUGGCGAGUGGCGGACGGGUGAGGAAUACAUCGGAAUCUACUUUUUCGUGGGGGAUAACGUAGGGAAACUUACGCUAAUACCGCAUACGACCUACGGGUGAAAGCAGGGGAUCUUCGGACCUUGCGCGAUUGAAUGAGCCGAUGUCGGAUUAGCCAGUUGGCGGGGUAAAGGCCCACCAAGGCGACGAUCCGUAGCUGGUCUGAGAGGAUGAUCAGCCACACUGGAACUGAGACACGGUCCAGACUCCUACGGGAGGCAGCAGUGGGGAAUAUUGGACAAUGGGCGCAAGCCUGAUCCAGCCAUACCGCGUGGGUGAAGAAGGCCUUCGGGUUGUAAAGCCCUUUUGUUGGGAAAGAAAAGCAGCAGGAUAAUACCCCGCUGUUCUGACGGUACCCAAAGAAUAAGCACCGGCUAACUUCGUG
rnacentral:rRNA from 1 species